rnacentral:rRNA from 1 species
GGAGUCUAGCAUGUGCGCGAGUCAUUGGGACAUGACUAAACCUAAAGGCGCAAUGAAAGUGAAGGUCCGCCUUGCGCGGACCGAGGGAGGAUGGGCGGCCGUUGCGGCUGUCGCCCCGCACUCCCGGGGCGUCUCGUUCUCAUUGCGAGAAGAGGCGCACCAAGAGCGUACACGCUGGGACCCGAAAGAUGGUGAACUAUGCCUGGUCAGGACGAAGUCAGGGGAAACCCUGAUGGAGGUCCGUAGCGAUUCUGACGUGCAAAUCGAUCGUCGGAACUGGGUAUAGGGGCGAAAGACUAAUCGAACCAUCUAGUAGCUGGUUCCCUCCGAAGUUUCCCUCAGGAUAGCUGGCGCUCGUAGCGCACGAGUUUCAUCCGGUAAAGCGAAUGAUUAGAGGCAUUGGGGUCGAAACGGCCUCAACCUAUUCUCAAACUUUAAAUGGGUGAGAUCUCCGGCUUGCUCGAACUACUGAAGCCGCGAGACUCGAAUCAGAGUGCCAAGUGGGCCAUUUUUGGUAAGCAGAACUGGCGCUGUGGGAUGAACCAAACGCCGAGUUAAAGCGCCUAAAUCGACGCUUAUGGGAUACCAUGAAAGGCGUUGGUAACUUAAGACAUCAGGACGGUGGCCAUGGAAGUC